CUGGCUCGUUCAUGUCGUACUCAUCCUCCAUUUCCUCAACAUCGCCGCCGUAAUAAUCAGGCAUGCCUAUAUCACAGCCAGGGGCGAAGACAUGGGUUUACACCCGAUAAUUUUUUGCAAAAGAAAAAAUCGAGAUUAGUAGGAAGGGAAGAGAAGGGGCGGGCAUACCUGCAGGGUGCUCCUCGCCGGCGAAGAGCCAGACGCAGACCUGGCGAAGGGCCCGAUGAAGACCAGGGUACCUGGCGUAGGGCGGCGGCGCUCGCCCCAGUCGUCGCCGCUAGAAAGAAGGCCCCACGAGAGAUAGAGGGUGAACGGGAGAAAGAAAAGGCAGCGAAAGGAGGGAGAACGGGGGAACGAAGCGCUGAUUUUUUUAAUGAGUUGUUAGACUCCGUAAAACUAUUUUUACUAGUAGAAUACCUGUAUCUUGCUACGAUUGA